UUCUGCUCUUAAAAAAAAAGAUCUUUUACAAAAAAGAUGUAAGCCAAUAUGAAAUAAUUAUUACUCAGUACUAAGGGUGUCACGAUUUCGAUUUUAAAUUGAAAUUGAUCGAAAUUAAAGGAAUACUUCACCAAUUUAGCAUUCAGCUUUGUAUCAGUAGAAACCUGGCAGUAUUUCUGAAUGAACGUGUUUCCCUCCCUCAUGUCCCCGUGAGAGGAGAGAUAUCUGUAUUCUGGUUGUCCAAAAAAGUCCUCCGAUGACGCAAAAUGACGAUUUUUGCGUCAUCGGAGGAGUUUUUGGCCAGAGGCAAAGACUACAGCCAGUAUUAGGAGCUACUUCCGCAUGUUUUCUCCCCACCCAUAGGGGUUGGACUGCGAGUCCAUUCGGAAAAGCCCGAACCAAAACGAGAGUCAGCCAUCUUUAAUCUUCGCUAAGCUAAGCUAGCCUGGGUCUUGCUUUGUGGAGAAAGCCGAGUAAACAAACCACGACGGCUGAGUGUAGUUUUGAAAACGGAUGGCAGAAGGGGAUUUUGAUGACCUGUUGCCCGAAUCUGAUGGUCGUGGUACCUGUACGAGCCGCAAUACAACGAGGAUCAGUUACGGAUGAUUGAGGAACAAGAGGCUGCCACCGCGGAUGCUGUAGCCGAGGUGGGGCCGGUCUGGUGGUUUACGUGCUCUCGCUGUGCGCCUCGCUGUUGCUCAAAUCUGAUGGUCGUGGUACCUGUACGAGCCGCAAUACAACGAGCAACAGUUACGGAUGAUCGAGAAACAGUUACGGAUGAACGAGGAACAAGAGGCUGCAACCGCGGCUGCUGUAGCCGAGGUUGGGCCGGUCUGGUGGUUUACGUGCUCUCGUGUGCGCCUAUGGACACCGAAAGAGAGUCAUAUUGCUGUCGCGAAUUUCAGCGAUAGCAUUUUCUUCUUGAAGCCCGCAGGGAGAAACGGAGGCAUGGGUAUAAAGCGAAAGACUGGGGAAAGGACAUCGACUUGUUUUACCUGCCUGUGUUCGUUGUUCAGGACAUCAGACGUAGAUAUCCAGCUCCUCACGGACAUUAUAGCGGCUAUAAAGAAACGGAUGAAGCUCUGGAUCAGCUAUGAGUGGGAGUUGUUUAUGUUUUUUAAUAAAAAGUUAAAACUCA